GACAUUCUUUCUUUCCUUUUUUAUUGCUAAAGAAAGGUCUUUGGGAUGUAGAAAAUGAGAAAUAAUAAUGUUGAGGUUUAAGGGAAGUCAUAACAACUGGCAUGAGGCCAGCCAUUAUUGUGUGGGAGUCAUUCUGCAGGCCUACUAAGAAAGAGUGAAAUUUAGGAUGAAGAAGGAAUACAGUAUUUCAGAAAAAGCAAAAAGAACAAUCAGAAAAGGAUUCAAGUUAAAUAUUUGGAUUUAGUGUGAAGACCCUAAGGUUAAAAAAUGCUGGCACAGCCCAGAGGAAGCUGAGAACUGAAUGGUCCUACAGACAAAGCCUUUGUCGCCAUCUCCUUGUUACUGAUGUAGCAGCUUGCCCUACCAGAAGAAAGGCUGGCCUUGCUAGUUGCUCAUGACCAGCCCUAUGCUCUGGCCUUUUCCAAUAAAC